rnacentral:pre_miRNA from 1 species
GUAACUCAUUUUUGUAUGGAGUUGGAACGUUUGCCUACGUUUGCCGCUAAAGGCGCUGUUUAACUGCAUACAAGUUUGAGUUA